AAAGUUAUGCUUGUACACGAGAAAAUGUUUCCAAGUGACUUUGGAGUGUUGCCACUUUACAAGGAAAAAUUUAGUUUUGGCAACAUUUUUGAAAAAUUAUAACUUCAGUUGCAUAAGUCCAAAAUUUGCAAAUCUUAUACCGUUAGAAAAUAGAUUCAAUGAACUAAAACUCUCUAGAAUACAUGUUUACCAGAUUCAAAUCCAAAAUAGUCAAAUCUUAGGUUCAAAUCACUGUUUCAGCAAGAACAGCGCAAAACAGUCUUGAAUUUUAGUGAAUUUUAAAAAUUUGGCAAAAUUCAUAGGAAUCGAACCAGCCCUUGAAAUUUAUACCACUGAAAUAACCAAAUAUAUUUUCAAAUGCAACAAAUGAAACUCAAUUUGGAUUUUUCUACACCAAGAUACAACAGCUUUAGG
rnacentral:lncRNA from 1 species